rnacentral:rRNA from 1 species
AACGAACGCUGGCGGCAUGCCUAACACAUGCAAGUCGAACGCGUGGAGCGAUCCACGAGUGGCGCACGGGUGAGUAACGCGUGGGAACCUGCCCUGGAGUGUGGGAUAACCCGGCGAGAGCCGGGCUAAUACCGCAUACGACCUACGGGUGAAAGAUUUAUCGCUCUAGGAGGGGCCCGCGUCGGAUUAGCUAGUUGGUGAGGUAAUGGCUCACCAAGGCGAUGAUCCGUAGCUGGUCUGAGAGGAUGAUCAGCCACACUGGGACUGAGACACGGCCCAGACUCCUACGGGAGGCAGCAGUGGGGAAUAUUGGACAAUGGGGGCAACCCUGAUCCAGCAAUGCCGCGUGGGCGAUGAAGGCCUUCGGGUUGUAAAGCCCUUUUGCACGCGACGAUGAUGACGGUAGCGUGAGAAGAAGCCCCGGCUAACUUCGUGCCAGCCGCCGCCGUAA